rnacentral:lncRNA from 1 species
CUGUAUGUCUGUUCUGAAUUCGAAUCUGUGACUCAAGCAGGUUCGAAACUGCUGGCAAUAGUCCUGGGCGGACGCCAGCUUAUAGGACAGCCAAUGGAGACCGGUGGGAGACGUCCCCUGGCUCUCUUCUGAUUUAAAUUGCGAUCUGAGUUGCCGGAGCGCGUUUGCAAUCCGGGCAACAGCUGACUCUGACCCCGGUUCCCAGGCGCGCGCGUGCGGUCUGAGUUGCCCCGGUUCCCGGGCGCGCGCGUGCGGUCUGAGUUGCCCCGGUUCCCGGGCGCGCGCGUGCGGUCUGAGUUGCCCCGGUUCCCGGGCGCGCCCGCUUGCGGCCCCAGUCCCCAGGCUCCCGGCUUCCGGCGCCGCGCUUGCGGCCCCGGUCCCCGGACUCCCGCCUUCCGGCGCCGCGCUUGCGGCUCCGGUCCCCGGGCUCCCGGCUUCCGGCGCGGUUCCUGGGCGCGCACGCUUGCGGCCCCGGUCCCCGGGCUCCCGGCUUCCGGCGCCGCGCUUGCAGCCCCGGUCCCCAGGCUCCUGGCUUCCGGCGCGGAUUUCCUUUACAGGGAUUGUAACCCACAUUCCUUUACAGGAAGAGACACAGAAAAUUUCCAAGCCGAAAUUCUAG